GACGAACGCUGGCGGCGUGCUUAACACAUGCAAGUCGAACGGAAAGGCCCUGCUUUUGUGGGGUGCUCGAGUGGCGAACGGGUGAGUAACACGUGAGUAACCUGCCCUUGACUUUGGGAUAACUUCAGGAAACUGGGGCUAAUACCGGAUAGGAGCUCCCGCUGCAUGGUGGGGGUUGGAAAGUUUCGGCGGUUGGGGAUGGACUCGCGGCUUAUCAGCUUGUUGGUGGGGUAGUGGCUUACCAAGGCUUUGACGGGUAGCCGGCCUGAGAGGGUGACCGGCCACAUUGGGACUGAGAUACGGCCCAGACUCCUACGGGAGGCAGCAGUGGAGAAUAUUGCACAAUGGGCGGAAGCCUGAUGCAGCGACGCCGCGUGCGGGAUGACGGCCUUCGGGUUGUAAACCGCUUUCGCCUGUGACGAAGCGUGAGUGACGGUAAUGGGUAAAGAAGCACCGGCUAACUACGUG
rnacentral:rRNA from 1 species